GAAAAAAAUGAAAAGUGUCCACCACCCCCCCUCAACCCCCGAGGGGGGCAGGGAUGCUACCAACGCAGAAGCCAUCCUGUUUUGGCUCUGGGAUGGCAAUCAAACCCAGAGCCACAAACACAUUAGGCAAGGGCUCCUUCAGCGAGUUCCAUCCCCAGCCUGGAGACAGAAGAUGGUAGAUUCAUAUUGCCAAGUGAAAGAAGCUCAUCUAAGAAGACUACACGGUUCUACUUCAGGGUGUCAGAGCUGGUUUGUGGCAGAGCAGGGACCAUGAUAGUCUCCAGCCUUCUACUCCAGUCCAUGGUGAGCGGGACUCCAUCACCACAGACCCGGUCUUUGGCACUGCCAGAAAAGCUGGAAGAGUCUCUGGAGAAAGGAAUUUAAUAUGUCCCAAGAGCCUUCAAAUGUGUCAGUGCCCUGUGACCCGGUGCAUUCUCCACUGAGCAAUCACACCCAUUGCAGAUCGACUUAUAUUGAGUUAAGAAUACCUACGAACAACCUGAAUAUCUAAUAACUGGGAAUGUUUACACAAAUUAUAGGAAUUCAUAAGCUAGUACAUUAUGCAACUGUUAAGUUUUUUCCUUAAAAAGAGUUUGUAAGGACAAGCAAGAAAAAUGUUCAAUGUAAUGUUUAGCCAAAGAGGAAAAAAAAGAGAGAGAUGGAUCAUAAAAUUAUAUAUAAAGUAUGAUCUCAACCCUGCUUUAAACAGUGUGUGGAGAAACGCCACAGGGAGACUUAGGAAAAUGUUAACAGUAUGUGUCUCUGGACAGCAAUGCUUGUGGUGCUGUCCCUGUUUUGAAAUGCUACUUGUCUGAUUUUGUGCAGAGCUCAGGGGAAAUGCCUUUAGAGAACCACAAACACGGCGGAUCCGGGCGGGGGUGGCACAUGCCUUUAAUCCCAGCUCUCGGGGAAACAGAAGCAGGUGGAUCUCUGUGAAUUUGAGGCCAGCCUUGUGUAGAGAGUGAGUUCCAGGACAGCCAUGGCUAAGAGAAAAAGAAAGCAUGUGGUGUCUCUAGUCUAUAUAAUGGAAGUGAAGUAUGUGCUGGCCAGUAGCCAUGGCUACUUUUAAAAUCACUUGUCCUUUUAUUAUUUAUUCGCAUAUUUAUGUAUUGAGACAAGCUCUUGCUCAAUAUCUGAGACAAGCCUCAGACACAGGGAAAUGCUAUCUUGGCCUCCUGCAUGCUGGGAAGAGCCACAGUGCCAAGCAAAAUAACUUAUUCUGUUCUCCUCUCAUGAACUGAGAAACACACACAUACACACAUACACACACACACAUAUACACACAGACACACACACACACAGUUUUGUUCUCAGCCUUCAGACCCUAUUUGUAACAUUUGUGGGGCUAGAGUAAGCACGCAAAUUAUGGCCCACAUAGCAUCCAUCUACACACAUAGACAUUAGAAAUCAUGCCAACCUGCCUGGAAAAGGAGUAUUUCUUCUCUUCCUCCUCCUCCUUCACAAAGACACCUCAGAAUGGCCUGGAUAUCUGGCUUCAAAUCUGACAUUAUCCAAGCCCACAAAGGAGACCAGCCAUGACCUUGAACAUCCAGUUCUACUUCCAGGGACUAUUGCACGUGUGCACAUCUGGUCAGCUGUGUGCCUUGACAGGGAGGAGCCCACUGCCUCUUGUGCACUUGGAAGUUGUGCUGAGGAGGAACUGCUAACUCUCUGGAGGCUAGGUCCCAGGAUCCAGGCUGUUCAGGAAGCAGGUGUAGGGACAGUCCUUAUUUCUAGACACUUAGAGCAAGACCCAGAAGGGAUGAGGUUGGCUCAUUGGAUGCCUGACCCUGUGGGGUACAGGCCAGCCCCUGUCUCCAGCUUACCGAGUUCAUCACAACAUGCUGGCUUUUCUUUUUCUUUUUGCAUCUUCUGAAAAACAAUUUGACAAGUUGUUGAGUGAUCCUGAUGGCAAGCUGCUAUAAAGAUUUCAUUGUCAAGUUAACCUACCAAUGCAUAUAAAACUGCACAGUGCUUUAUAUUUCCUUUCAUGCAAACCAAAAUCAAACCAAACAAAUGACACACAUAUGCUUUGAGUUUGGUGUGGUAGAACAGCCCUGUAAUCCCAGCACUCUGGGGCUGAAACAGGAUAAUCCUGAGUUUGGGGCUAGUCUAGGUUACAUAGUGAGAUCAUGUCUAAAGAGGCAAACCAUUAAAAAAAUGGGAUAUAUACAUGCACAUAAAUAUACACGCAUACACACUCAAACACACUGAGACACAUAUACAUACAAAAACACACGAACAACAUGCACACAUACAUACACAAACACCCACAGACAUACACAAAUACACAUACACACAUUAAAGCACACAGACAGAUAUGUACACAUACAACACACACAUAAACAGAUGCACAUACACAUACAUAGACACAUAGACACAAAUACACAUACACAUAUACAUAAACAUACAGACAGACAUACACUCUCACACAUGAAUACACACAUAUACAAACACAAGCACACAAUACACACUCAUGCAUAUCUGAAAUAUUGAUCAAAUGCAGAUUGGUUUUUUAGAAAAAUCAUCCUGGCUGAUGUUCUUUCUCUACAAUGCCUUGUUCCUUACCAUGCCUGCACUGAGUGCUGGUGAGCUUUUUCUAAAUGUUGCCAAUCUGAUAGGCAAAACAUGACGUGUAAUCUCUCUUUCUCUCUCUCUCUCUCUCUCUCUCUCUCUCUCUCUCUCUCUCUCGUAAACUGACAACUCAUAUCUUUUGCCCACAGAUGCUCCUUUUCUUACUGACUUGUACAGGGAAAUGAGAUAUAUUUUACUGGCAUUUUUCAGCUUCGAAAUUUGCCUUUGGACAUGGUUUGCAGCAUUUUUUUAAAAAAAUUUCUUUACUAUUUUGUGUUUUGAGAUAGGAUUUCUGACUGGUCUUGAACUUAUCAUGAUGAUAAAGAUGACCUUAACCUUCUGAUCUUCCUGCUUCAACCUCCCAAGUGCUAGAGUCUUAGGAGUACAUCACAAAGCCCAGUCCAGUGGUCCAGUGGUCCAGUGGUCCAGUAGUGCUGUGGAUGGAAUACAGGGAUGCUUGUGCGGUAGCAAGCCCUCUACUACAGAGCUAUAUCCCCAGUAUUUUAAAAUCAUGUUGUUAGUACCCUGAAGGCACACCCAAAAUUGUUGCAAGUUGGAGGUCAGCCUGGGCUACACUGCAAGACUGAAUCUCAGAAAACAAUAGUCAUUUUUUUUUCUGAAUAAAACAACUUAUGUGUGACUUA